GAAUACAUACAUCAUGCUAUAUAGUGGAGACAGCACUCAAGUCAAAACAUGACAUGCAAUGAUGUUUCACAGCCACUUUCUAGACAUCGCCCGAAGGAAAAAGGGCCCCUUAAGAAAGAGCUGCCAGCAGGGUCUUUGGAUGAUGAAGAAGAAAAGCCAGCUUUGACAAAGGGAAGCAGGAGUGCCUUCGGGGCUCUCUCUGUUGCCCCAGGGCUUGCCCUGUGCUGACUGCCGACUCCUUUGCCAUGCAGCAGUCCGAGGAAUCAAGGCAGCCAGAAGGAGAACAAGGGUGGAUUAAGAUUUGCUCAAGGACAGCUGUUCUAUAGUCCGAGAUGGAAUGACCAGGAAGAUUACAGUCUUCUGCAAUUGGAUUUUGUGAAUUCCCAUUCCUAGUGCCCGUUUGAUGCCCACUUACCUUCUGGCACAAAGACUGGAGGAUUUCCCUAGGAAGAGGACUGGAGGAUAUUGUUGACAGAGGAUGGCAAAUAUUACAUUAAAGGAUAAGCAAGUGGAAGUUGCUGGGAGCAUGUAAGGAAUCAGUGAAUUGUGUUAGAUGGGGUUAUACUCCCCCUGAAGACGUAGGUUCGCAGCUAGGGAGUGAUCCUGGACUCAUCGCUGAGCCUGGAACCCCAGGUCUCAGUGGUGGCCGGGAGAGCUUUUGCACAAUUAAAACUUGUGCGCCAGUUGCGCCCGUACCUUGGGAAGUCGGAUCUGGCCACAGUGGUCCACGCUCUUGUUACAUCCCGAAUAGAUACUGCAACGCACUCUACGUGGGGUUGCCUUUGAAGACUGUUCGGAAACUUCAAUUAGUCCAACGGGCGGCAGCCAGAUUACUCACCGGAGCGUCAUACAGGGAACAUACCAC